UAGCGGAGGAAAAGAAACUAACAAGGAUUCCCCUAGUAACUGCGAGUGAAGCGGGAAAAGCUCAAAUUUAAAAUCUGGCAGCCUUCGGUUGUCCGAGUUGUAGUCUGGAGAAGUGUCUUCCGCGCUGGACCGUGUACAAGUCUCUUGGAAUAGAGCGUCGUAGAGGGUGAGAAUCCCGUCUUUGACACGGACUACCAGUGCUUUGUGAUGCGCUCUCAAAGAGUCGAGUUGUUUGGGAAUGCAGCUCAAAAUGGGUGGUAAAUUCCAUCUAAAGCUAAAUAUUGGCGAGAGACCGAUAGCGAACAAGUACCGUGAGGGAAAGAUGAAAAGCACUUUGGAAAGAGAGUUAAACAGUACGUGAAAUUGCUGAAAGGGAAACGCUUGAAGUCAGUCGCGUCGUCCAGAACUCAACCUUGCUUUUGCUCGGUGCACUUUCUGGUUGACGGGCCAGCAUCAGUUUUGACCGUCGGAAAAAGGCCUUUGGAAUGUGGCACCUUCGGGUGUGUUAUAGCCUUGGGUUGUAUACGACGGUUGGGACUGAGGACCGCAGCACGCCUUUUGGCCGGGGUUCGCCCACGUACGUGCUUAGGAUGCUGGCGUAAUGGCUUUAAGCGACCCGUCUUGAACCACGGACCA
rnacentral:rRNA from 1 species